UACGUAGGUGGCGAGCGUUGUCCGGAUUUACUGGGUGUAAAGGGCGCGUAGGCGGGAAGGCAAGUCAGGUGUGAAAUCUAUGGGCUCAACCCAUAAACUGCACUUGAAACUGUUUUUCUUGAGUGUCGGAGAGGUAGAUGGAAUUCCUAGUGUAGCGGUGAAAUGCGUAGAUAUUAGGAGGAACACCAGUGGCGAAGGCGAUCUACUGGACGAUAACUGACGCUGAGGCGCGAAAGCGUGGGGAGCAAAC
rnacentral:rRNA from 1 species